UACGAGAGUUAAAAACUCAAAAGGCAGCACAGUUAUUUAAGUUAAGAAGUAAUCGGAUGACAGUGAAACGGUUUCUCUGCAGAAGAAAUCGGACCGGAAGUGCCGUUUUCCUCCUAAUUACUGCUCUUCACCUGCCAGGACACAGUGGAGAGGAGGGGAGGAAGCACUUCUACUCAAAAGAGGUGUUGGAAGAGCCACGCUCUCAUGAUGUUCGUGGCCACUUUGGGGAAGAUGCCUCUCUUCUUGUUGUUCCUCCUGUCUCUGUCCGAGUCGUCGUCGUCUCCGGUGCUCGGGGAGCCAGCUCCUCCGUCCAGACCGUCGCCUGCAGAGGAGCACACAUCAUAUCUGAGGGACUGUUGGGCUCUUUAUCAGGGUACAAGUGAUAUAAACUCACAACUUCUGCAGAUAUGUUGUAUUUAUUAGUGAAAGAAAGUACACUUUGUCCAAUUUUGUGCAAAAAACCCAGCUCUUUUCACCGUUUUCUUGCAGAAUAUAUCAUAUAAUUGCCCAGCUGUGUGUGUGUGUGUGUGUAUACCUAUGUACCUAUGUCGCUACAGUUGUCUGCUGUGCUGUGUGAAGGCAGGCCACAGGUGCCCGGUGUUCCCAGGGGAGUCGUCGCACAUUCAUCCGGCUCCCGUAACCACGAUGCAUUCUGCAGGGCGACAGGCUGGUGCACGACCCAGUGAAGUCCUCCACGUCGGACUUGGAGCCGCCCUCCCGGUCGUCCAUUAUGAGGUCUGUUGGCAUCUUGCCCUUCAGGCAGGUGAUGUAGCGGUGGCAGAAGUUAUCACAUAAGUCGUGUACCUACAGAGACACGGUGCAUACUGUUAACACCACUUCCUUUAAGGGGGCUGGCAGUGACUGAAGAUUUAACAGCCUUAUUAUCAAAUGCAUAAUAGCUACAUGGAGAAUAUAGGCAAGGCAGGGCAAGUUUAUUUAUAUAGCACCUUUCAACACAAGGCAAUUCAAAGUGCUUUACAAACAUGAAAGACAGUAAGAGCAUUAAGAAAUAGUGCAGCAUAAACACAUUAUAAAAAGGCAUAAUAAUCUGAAUCCUCAGGCUCCUCCGAGAGCACACACAAUAGACUUUAGACAUAAUGUAAUAAGAUAAUAGUGCCUGUGAAUUUUCUAAUAAUCCAUGCCUAAAAUGCUAACACUUGCACCUAUUAUUUUAAGACAAAAUGUAAAUAAAGUUGUCGGAAAAGUGGUUUCAGUAGCUCUUGAGCACCCCCUAAAAUAGCGUCUCUGGUCCCUCCUUCAUGGGUUCAUAAACAUUUUAAAUAACAGUCAUUUUGAACUAAAAGUGUCCCUAAACAUGCGCGCCCUGUUACUGAAGCCCUGAUCGUUUCUUUAAAGUCUAAUCAAAUGUUCCCUCCCAGAUUUCCUCAUAAACCAGCAAAACAGUGUUUUUUAUGAAACAUAUUUCACACCUCAAUUAAUGAACUUUGUAAGGAACCAAAAUGACUGAUGUUAAUUCAUUUUGUGACAAAUUACAAAUACAGAUUGAUUGAUUUUUAUCAGGUGACAUGCACAUAGACACACCUUGAUGUCAGAGCCUCCAACUCACCUUUUCUAACUCCAGCAAAUGAAAGCGCAGAACUUGUAUGGCCUGGAUCAUCUGUGGGAGAGGAGACAGUGGAUUCAUCAUUAACUCGUAUCCCACAAUGCAUGUGUGAAAAAGCAUGUUUAUAUUUCAGUGUGAUUUAAGUGAGCAUCAUACCAAGUUGUCCAGCUCAGGAUUGGAAGAAAAUAUGGGCUUCUCAGAUCGGAUCUACGGCAAAAAAUAAACACAUGCUCAUAAAUCCGAAGGCAGGAUUAUUUAAACAGCACAAUAGGACAAAACAAGGCAACGCAAAAUGCUCUAAAUUCCUUGUAUGUGUAAAACUACUUUGCUAUGAACCUGAUUCUGAUUCUGAUGAAAUAUAAUAAUAACAUUUAAAGUUCAGUAUAUGCAACUCUUAGUGACUCUGAUUCAUGGUGCCAUCAGGCCUGCAGAUUCACAGGACACUCACCUGCUUUGCAAACGCGGCGAUGUCGUCGUUGAAGGAGUCGGAGGAGCAGACGUCGCUGUGAUUGUUCAUGCCGGGGAGGUGGGAGGUGGCCGAGAGGGAGGCGGAGUCUCGAGGGGAGCAGGUGGCGAGCUCGCACUUUUCAAACACUAAGGCCAGCAGUGGAAACAGGAGUCUGGGAUGAUGGGGCCGUAGUGUGGGGGAGGAAGCGUCCUGACAUCUUCCGCAUACCCCCCCAUCGACAUGCCCUCCGACCCUGAGUAGUGCACCAGGUCUUCAUACUGAAACACAAUUACAUGGAAAAAAGCAGAAAACAUGAGACGCGUCGGACAUCUGCGCCCGUCUGACAUCAAAUCAUAUUUCAUUCCGCAGCCGAGCUGUCAGAGCUCACACUCGGUGAGGAGCUGCUGGGCUUUACGGUAAUGUGUCUGAACUCCUGGAAUCAUUUACUGCUGCUAUUUGAUAUUAUAGUUAAAUAAGGCAUGUUGUGCUUACUUCCAAUGUUGAAAAUCAUCUUAUAGAUUAGUUGUUUGUUCAAUAAAAUGUCAUAAAAUAGUAAAAUAUGCCCUUUAAUAUUUUCUAAAUCCCAUGUUGACAUAAUAAAUGUUUCCAAAAGUCCAAAAACCAAAUAUUAUCUGUUUAUUAUAAUACAAAACUACAAAUAUUAAGAACCAAGAAUCUGGAACUAAUGCCUUUUAUUUAUUUUUGUAAGAAAUGUAAUUUUUAAAUGAUUCAUUGUUACGUUUAAUCACGGAUUGGAUGCCUCUUUAAUCUUUGCAAGUAGACCAAUCAUCAAUACCAUCAAUAAAACAUACGUACAUUUCUUAGUGUGUGUGUGAUAGAGACAUGUCAUUGCAGUGUGUUGUACUGUUCACUGCAAAUGUGUGUGUCCCAAUGUCCUCUUUGUUUUCACUUGUAAUGAUGGAUCACAUGAUUAUUGUGCCAAUAAAAGGCAAAUGAAACCCAUUCAAAAUGCACUUGGAUAGCCUUAAAAAAUGCAAAGCAAGUCGAGAUUGAAAUUCUUGGAAGGUCUGUGUGUUUUCGGAAAGGGAAAGCAGAGGAGGAGGAGGAGAGGAGGAGGAGGAGGAGGCGAGAAAUGAGAAUGAUGAGGGGAAUAGUGUCGCUGCUAAUAUCCUCUCCUCCCUCCUCGACUCAGACAGGAGCCGUGCUGAGUCGUUGCUCACAUCCCGCUGUGACACACAUACACACACACACACACACAUACACAUACACGUACACACACACUGAUACAACACAGACAUCUUGUGCACAGCAUCAUGAAUAUAUAUGUCUGGCUGCCUGUGCUACAGAGCUCAUUUGUGCCUCUCUGCAGCUUGUGUCUCUGAGGCGAAGUCACUCUGGUCAGCAGAUCUGCUUUCUGCUAGAUUAAAGGACCACCAGGGACACACACACACACACACACGCGGCACCUGCUGGUCAACCUGAACACCUUUAACUUCUGUGUUAUUUUAACCAAGCCAUAAAAGUUAUUAUCUGCUUAGCCGUGUUUCUUUCUGUGGACACUGUUCCCCAGGCAGGCUACCACAAGAGGUUGUGGUUUCAAGGAGUGUGUGUGACUGUAGAUAACAGUAAUGGCUCUUUCGCAACAGUUCUAAUGCUGUAUUUCUAUGACAUAACACUAUUGUAAUAAUGUCAUAACCCCAAAGGGCUCAGAGAAAGGAUGUUUGUCAAAAACUGUCAAAUUGUAAAUGAUAAUUGUGGUUAUUUGUGGAGAGUAAACCAGCAGCAGCAGUGAAACCCAACACAGAUGUAAUUAUUUUGUACACUUUCUCUCUAUGUUGACCUCUGGGAAUUUAAAUAAAAGUUAAAUUAAAUCA